GCGUGUGUGUGUGUGUGCGGCUCUUGGGGGCUUUUCCCUGAGGAGGGAAGAGGGCCGCCCUUCUCCCUCCUCGGGGAAAAGCCCCCAAGAGCCGCACACACGCUC